rnacentral:rRNA from 1 species
GAUGAACGCUGGCGGCGUGCUUAACACAUGCAAGUCGAACGGGAAUGUUUCGCUGAUGCGAUUUCGGUCAAAUCUUGAAGCAUUUUAGUGGCGGACGGGUGAGUAACGCGUGGGUAACCUGCCCUGUACAGGGGGACAACAGUUGGAAACGACUGCUAAUACCGCAUAAGCGCACAGCUUCGCAUGAAGCAGUGUGAAAAACUCCGGUGGUACAGGAUGGACCCGCGUCUGAUUAGAUAGUUGGUGAGGUAACGGCCCACCAAGUCAACGAUCAGUAGCCGGCCUGAGAGGGCGAACGGCCACAUUGGGACUGAGACACGGCCCAAACUCCUACGGGAGGCAGCAGUGGGGAAUAUUGCACAAUGGGGGAAACCCUGAUGCAGCGACGCCGCGUGAGUGAAGAAGUAUUUCGGUAUGUAAAGCUCUAUCAGCAGGGAAGAAAACAAUGACGGUACCUGACUAAGAAGCCCCGGCUAACUACGUGCCAGCAGCCGCGGUAAUACGUAGGGGGCAAGCGUUAUCCGGAUUUACUGGGUGUAAAGGGAGCGUAGACGGUAGACCAAGUCUGAAGUGAAAGCCCGGGGCUCAACCCCGGAACUGCUUUGGAAACUGGUAAACUAGAGUGCAGGAGAGGUAAGUGGAAUUCCUAGUGUAGCGGUGAAAUGCGUAGAUAUUAGGAGGAACACCAGUGGCGAAGGCGGCUUACUGGACUGUAACUGACGUUGAGGCUCGAAAGCGUGGGGAGCAAACAGGAUUAGAUACCCUGGUAGUCCACGCCGUAAAC